UACGUAGGGUGCAAGCGUUGUCCGGAAUUAUUGGGCGUAAAGAGCUCGUAGGCGGUCUGUCGCGUCUGCUGUGAAAACCCGCGGCUCAACGGCGGGCUUGCAGUCGAUACGGGCAGGCUGGAGUUCGGUAGGGGAGACUGGAAUUCCUGGUGUAGCGGUGGAAUGCGCAGAUAUCAGGAGGAACACCGGUGGCGAAGGCGGGUCUCUGGGCAGUAACUGACGCUGAGGAGCGAAAGCGUGGGGAGCGAACAGG
rnacentral:rRNA from 1 species